rnacentral:lncRNA from 1 species
AAGGAACUUGGGCAAUGAGGAAAUAGUGGUUCCCUUGGGAAACAGAAGAAGUACUGGGAGGAAGUACAGGGAGGACACAAAAAGAGACCUGGCCUACUUCUCAAUUUUUAUCUAGGAAUAGUUCUCCUCACAUUAAAGGCAUUUCCUUAUGUACACUUACAUGUAAACAAGUCAAGAUUCUUUCAAGAAACAACUGCUGAAACAGUUACAAAUUAGCUCCAUGUUAAAGGAAAUUGAACUGUGUAUGGUGCUGGAAGAGUUGACUUUCGAAUUCUUGGUUUGUGAUGAUUGACCAGAAACAUUUACUCAAUGUCUUUAUGAGUGUGAAGCUGUGCUAUCUUGGAAGAUGUGACAUUGGUGCACAGUCUACAUAAAUACAACUAAUAGUACCUUCAAGGGCAAAAAUCAGCCUGUGAAAAUGAAACCAAACUGACUGGAAACAGAAGGCACACACUAAAUGGAGGAUCUGAGGUACUAAAAGUUUAAAUAACUUGCUCUGGAUCAAGUAGAUGCAAACUCAGUUCUUCAAAUUUAAGCAGUCUUGUUCCAGAUUUCAUAUAAAACUCCUGCUUCUCGCCACUCCUUACCAAUCCUCAGGUGUUGGUAACAUGGACAGGAGGCACGAGGUUGUGCCUGGUGAGGCACUCCACCCUCAAGUCCUGGUGAGUGAUCCACCCUCAAGCCUGGACUUGUGGCCCUAAAUGUAAACAGGCAUUCUUGUUUUUGUACCCAAAUCUUGUCUUUAAGCCUGCUGUGCCCCCCACCCCAACCUGUGCCCAUAUAAACUGCAAAUCCCAGGCUUCACAAGCAGAAGCGCAGCAGAGUAGCAGAGAAGGAGAGAAGAGAGGAAGUGUUUUAACGCCAGAGGAGUUCUGCUGGGGCUGGUCAGAAAGGAGAUCAGCCGCAGGAUGGCUGAACUCCGGCAGAAGAUCAUUUUCCCAUUCCAUCCCCUCUCCAGCUACCCAUCCCAUCGAGAACCACCUCCAUCACUCAAUAAAAUCUCCCCAUUC